CUCGGCGUCCCACGCUGCUCCCCUCCCCCACUGUCGCGAAGCUCCCGCCCAAGCCGACCACGUGCCGCGAGCCCGGCGGGGAGAGCCCACUCCCGCGCCCCUUCCGGGCCCACUACCCCGCCGGGCUGUGGCCCAUCGCCCCAGUGCCUGGUAGCCUAGUUUUCUCGUUUGUCGUUUGUUCACUUAUUUAUUAUUAUUAUUAUUAUUUUGACUCGUAAUGGGUAUGAGGUGUAAGGGGGCCUAUUACGGAUGUUAAGGGGAGAGGGCACCGCUCGGGUUUUAAUAAGCAUCUGUGGAGCUCAUUUAUAAGAUUGGCAUCCUCUGCUUCUGCAGAAAACAUGGCUACCAACAGCUUCUGUAUCCACCUGCGGAGGAGACUGACUGCUCUGUUAUUCCCCCAGCAUCUGUGAAGAGGCUCUGACUGGCUAAAGUGUUGGUAUAGUGAUCACCCCAGGGUUAGGCAACCAUGGCUGGUGAAAAGGAAAAACGUUAUGAACCUGGCUGUGCGGAGCUACCUGAGGAAGCUUGUAGGAGAAGGGUCAGUUUGCAGAGAAAGGGGGGCCUGGGCAGAUGACGCAAGAGGUGCCCAUUACAUCCCUCUAGAGGAAGGAGUCUGUAGCUUUAGGGGAAGACAGAGCCACAAGAUGGAAGGAGCUUGGAUGUCUGAACUAUUCCAUGGAGAAAAGCUGCAGCCAACGAAGAACACCUGCAAUGGACUCUUAACCUGGGGGUGACGACAACCACUGAAAUAUGCUGCAUCUUAGUCCAGGGAUUUUUAAAGUGUGGUUCCUGGAAGAGCUGGAUCAGAGUCAUCUGUGUUGAUGGUUUAACAUAAAGAUUUUCGAGCCCCAAGACUCAAGUAGGACAAGGAAUUUGAAUUUUUAAGCAGCUCACCUGACUUGUCUGUCCUCUAAUGUCUGAAGACAUCUGACCUCUGCUCUUUCAGUAAAAGCAACAAUGGUUUUAUGAGCAUUGUCGUCACAUCUCUCCACUCAAGGGAUCCUUCUCAUUUCUCCCAGCUGAGGUCACCCACAGCUGCUGCUUCUAACUGCUGGCUUCCAGCCUGCUGUCUGCCAGCUGGCUCUACCCUCUCCUAUAACACGGCAGAGAGUAGCUGUGGUCUCCUGCGUGCUCACCCUCUGCUCCCUUGGUCCUGCUCCAUGCUUUGGUCCUGCACUUAAAUUUUACAAGCAUACUCUCUUUCUCUUAAGAUGAAGGAGCUGAGGCUGGAGAAGUUAAGAGACCCCUGCUAGAUAGGAAGGCACGUGAGAAGUAUACUGCUCUGUCUCCUGUGGAGUAAAAAGACUUUGGCGUUCUCAGAAGAAAACCAAAUGAGAUCACACGAAUGAGACUGCUGGUAAAUGCCAUUUACAGAAAGCAUUCUGCAUAAUAAAACGAUUUCAAAGUCUCAUAAGAGAAGCUAACAUAACUUCCCUUAAUCAAUCUAGUCUUCAUGAGCUCUACACAAAUAGUCCCAUACCAAGGUUUUCCUGUAUGUCUAUCCAUUUAUAG
rnacentral:lncRNA from 10 species